rnacentral:tRNA from 1 species
AUGUUUUUAGUAUAUAAAGUACACUUACCUUCCAAGUAAGAAGAUAAUUAGUUAAAAACAUA